GCCCCGGGGGCGGGGCGGGGCCGGGCCGGGCCGCGGGGCGGCGGCCGCGGCGGGGCCCAGCGCGGGGCGGCGGCCGGAUUGUCCGCCGGGCAGGGGCCGGGCCAGGCCGCGGAGCGGGCACGGCAGCCUCCGCCGCAGGCACGAAGCCCCCGGCCGGGGCCCGAGGCAGGGCGGCGCGGCGCGGCGUGGCGUGGCGUGGCGUGGCGUGGCGUGGCGUGGCGUGGCGGCCGGGGCGCAGGAGCCUGUCCCGCCCUGCGCCCGUUCGCGGCCGCCGGCGUGGCUCCGGGACCCUCGGCGCGCCGCGGCUCGGAGCGGUCCCGGUCCCGGUCCCGGUCCCGGUCCCGGUCCCGGUCCCGGUCCCGGUCCCGGUCCCGGUCCCGCCCCCGCCCUCCUUCGGUUUUGUCUCCUCCCGGCUCUGCAGCUUUCGGUGCCGCCGAUGGGCCUAAGUUCGUGAGGAAGUUAAAUAAUUUACAGAUGUUUUCAAAAUCCCCGCGGAAGAAUAUUGAAUAUUUUUUACGCUUUUUUUUUUUUUUCUUUAAUAUAUCCUGAGGAGUAUGUUUUUGAUCAGUAGUUCGAUUUAGAAAAUGUAGUCUAAAACCUGAAGAUGUGUUGACCAAGCUUGAAAUUACAAACAGGGUGCCAGAGGCAAUAGGAGUCAUCUGCAGGUGGGGCUCUGGACUUUCACCUAUAAAUGAUGUUUAUGCCAAAAUGUUUGAGAAGAUACUAAAAAUUCCAUCGGUGGGAUUUUCAGGGAGGUGGUGGGAAAACACUGAGCAGCUGGAUCUGUUUCAAAUCUGGGCUUAGUUUUCUUUCUUUGGAAAUAAGGUAUGCCAAGGAGGAAAGAAAACAGCAAAGACAGAAAAUGUUAAGACACUGACCUGGCUUCAGUUUUGAUCUCACAUUGACAGCAUCUCUAGUUAAGCCAGGCUUAUUAAGCUGAAAGUGGUAAGGAAAAGGGGUGAGGAUAGGGAGAGGAGAGAGUAUUAUGUCGCUAAUGCAAGCAUCGAAUUUCAAGGUGGAUUGACAGUAGGUGCUGAUUGUGGGCUUCUCCUGAAUUUGUUUAUGGUGUGUUUUUGUGGUUUUGUUUUUUUUCCUCCUGGCAUGACCCAGUCAGCCUCUGUCAAGCUGAAAGGUCCCAGACUCUGACUGGAUGGCUUAGCUGACAGCAUGGUGAUAAACUUGCAUCUACCAAUCCACUGAUUUCCCCCAGUCUCAGAAUGAACCUUGUUUCCUUCUGGAAGGCUGCAUAUUUAAAAGACUGAUCUGCAAAGGACUUGAGUUUGUUGCUUCUAGUUCUUGAAGAACCAUACCUUCCUCGUUAGGCAAAUAAUAAUCAGAAGACUGGAUAUAUGUAAUUUUUUUAAAAACUGCAGUGUAGUACAGAACAACAACAAUAAUGCCUUAAGGAGCCAACUCAAGCAAAAAUAAGUAUGUUCAAAAAUCUUACUGAAAUCCCUUCUUUAAAAACAAACAAAAAAACCAGGAACAAACAAAACAAAAAACCAGCAGAUUUCAAGAUAUUUGGAAAGACAAGAUCAACAUUUUGAAGAUUCUCUGCACAGGACAAUGUAGGUAGUAUAUCCAUUGCUGUAUAGCCUGAUCACCCUCUGCAGCAAUAAUAAAAAAUGGUACAUUUGGGGUUUGUCUAUAUAACUUCCCUGCUUUUACCAGGGUUGGGGGGCAGUGCAUGUGUUUCAUUUUUCAGCAAAAACAUCUUAUUUGAUUGAGGAUUAGUUUAUAUGCAGCUGGUAAAAGCAUACAGCAAUCAGAGAUUAUUAUCACAGAUGACAGUCCUUAAUAUCUGUAGUCUGACAACAUGGAGGGUAUAAUAAGGGACAUGGCUCCACAUCAUCACUAAAUGCUCACAGCAGACAAAUUGCAGAUUUAUUGUUUGACAGUAAUCGUUGAAGAAUAAAGUAGAUUACUUUCUAUGGCUUAUUGUCUUCA